rnacentral:rRNA from 1 species
AUUGAACGCUGGCGGAAUGCUUUACACAUGCAAGUCGAACGGCAGCACGGACUUCGGUCUGGUGGCGAGUGGCGAACGGGUGAGUAAUGUAUCGGAACGUGCCCAGUCGUGGGGGAUAACGUAGUGAAAAUUACGCUAAUACCGCAUACGAUCUAUGGAUGAAAGCGGGGGAUCGCUAGACCUCGCGCGAUUGGAGCGGCCGAUAUCAGAUUAGGUAGGUGGUGGGGUAAAGGCCCACCAAGCCAACGAUCUGUAGCUGGUCUGAGAGGACGAACAGCCACACUGGAACUGUGACACGGUCCAGACUCCUACGGGAGGCAGCAGUGGGGAAUUUUGGACAAUGGGCGAAAGCCUGAUCCAGCCAUUCCGCGUGCAGGAUGAAGGCCCUCGGGUUGUAAACUGCUUUUGUACAGAACGAAAAGGUUUCUACUAAUACUAGGAGCUCAUGACGGUACUGUAAGAAUAAGCACCGGCUAACUACGUGCCAGCCGCCGCAGUAA